UAAACUCAAAGGAAUUGACGGGGGCCCGCACAAGCGGCGGAGCAUGUGGCUUAAUUCGACGCAACGUGAAGAACCUUACCAAGGCUUGACAUACACCGGAAAGCAUUAGAGAUAGUGCCCCCCUUGUGGUCGGUGUACAGGUGGUGCAUGGCUGUCGUCAGCUCGUGUCGUGAGAUGUUGGGUUAAGUCCCGCAACGAGCGCAACCCUUGUCCCGUGUUGCCAGCAGGCCCUUGUGGUGCUGGGGACUCACGGGAGACCGCCGGGGUCAACUCGGAGGAAG
rnacentral:rRNA from 1 species